rnacentral:lncRNA from 1 species
CAGGGCCGUAACUAGGGUUCGAAUUCAGGGGAGGCAGGGGUUUAGGGGCCGCCGAUUGAGGAAGGGGGUUUGGGGCACAGCCCCCCCCCCCCCCCUCCCGGCCGAUUUUUUCUUCUCGGUAAAAUGGCUAAAAAUAACCCGUAUUCCUUCGAUUUCUUUACUUUUAGUAACAUCAGUAUUGCUUGAACCUGGAAGCAAUUUUUAUGCAAAAACAAGCUGUCUGAGCCUGAGAUUGCUGUUCGGGGUAAACCAAGGCCUCGUCUUGAUGACCUAUAAUUAUUAACAUUAAAUACAUUGUGACCGCCGAUUUUUCUCUCUCAGUGAAAUGACUUCGAUUUCCUUACUUUAAGAAACACAUCAGUUUUGCUGGAUCCUGGAAGCAAUUUUUAUGAAAACAAUUAUUAUCUGUAUUUAAAGAUAAUUUUGUUAGAAAUCAAACUGGUAAGUUUUAAAAAACAUAUAAAGCAAGAUCAUAUAGAACGCAAGAUUUUUUUUUUAUCGAGGACCUUGAAUUUCAAUAUCGUUGUAAGCUGAACAGACAUGUAUAUAACUACAACCAGAGACUUUCUAUUCUAAGUAUAUACUUAGUAUAGAAAGUCCCUGCUACAACGAAUGGGAGUGUUUAACUACUAAGGCAUUGACCAUAAUGUUCUCGUACGAUCGGGUGAC